rnacentral:lncRNA from 1 species
CAUUUCUUGGGCUGCUCCCGAGGCAUAUGGAGGAUCCCAGGCUAGGGGUCGAACGGGAGCCAUAGCUGCCAGCCUAUGCCAGAGCCACAGUGAUGCAGGAUCCAAGCCACAUCUGCAGCCUCCACCACAGCUCACGGCAAUGCCGGAUCCUUAACCCACUGAGCAAGGCCAGGGAUCGAACCCGUGACCUCAUGGUUCCCAGUCGGAUUCGUCAAUCAUUGAGCCACAAUGGGAACUCCCAGACUUUUCUAAUUGCUUCUCAGAGUGGAUUCUGAGGGUCCCCCAAGGCACAGCCCAGCUGGCCAGAAGGUGGACAUGAAACUGUGCUCGUUUCUAAGUCCCUAGGGCCCAGCAAUCUGCAAGCAUUAUGGGGAUGGGGCCAGGUGGAGGCAGAGAGGUCGCUGUCCCCUCCGCCUGCCUGCAAGGGUCUGAGUUGCCCAGGAGCCCCAGCGCCCUCCAUGCGUCUGAGGUAAGCAGGCAGCAUCCUGGAAGGCUCUGAGCCCCUUGGCACCUGCACAGACCGGAAUUCUGGCUCCGAGCUCUACUCAGGAUGAACAUCAGUCAGGGCAGGGCGGGCUGGCUCUGCCAAGGCAGCCCACAGCUCAUGAUUUCAGAGGCUUCAAACAAUAAGUUCAUUUCUCACAUACGCUCCAGAAACAACAUGAACCUGGCGUAAGGUGCCAGGGUGCGGAGCUUCCAUGGAGAUGUGGUACCGGUCCUGCCCACAUUGGGCUAAGGAUAUCACAGGCCACCCCUGACAUGACAGGGAGGCCACGCCAGCCCGCCUUGUGCCACAAGGCGGAGGGCCGGAAAUAUUUGGUGGAAAGCAAAAUGACCGCGACGCCAGCCAAGUGACCUCUGAGCCCAUUUCCUCUUCUGCAAAAUGAGGGCAAACAGUAUUUGAUCCCCAAUUGUUGUGAGGAUUCAAAGAGGAAACCCUUGACACAGGGGAGCACCGGGGUGAGUAAAAUAAAACUCAGAUGCCUCCCAGGUGGCCCCCAUCCGUGAUCUGACCCUCCCGCCUCCAAGGGCCCCUCCAUGGAGAGGCCAGCGGAGCCUGGACGCUGUCCCCUCCCAGAUCGGCGCUGACCCCUCGGGCAGGCAGACUUCACCCCGUGUCCUCACUUCCUGUCCCUCAAAGGAUGUCUUGUGACAGAUUCGCCCUCUGUGCUGUCAGAGGGCAGGGGCGCACAGACGGGAUGGAGCGUCUGGGGGAAACGAAGGAAAUUCAUCUCCAUCCUGUGAGAGGAGCCUUGAGCUGGUGGCCCAACCCAGGUCACCCCAUUUUGACCUCAUAAUAGCCCUGUGAUGAGCGGGUGUGGCAGUCCUCAUUUUGAGGGGAACGUCGCCAGGGGCAGUUACAUAACUUGCCCCAGGUCCCACAGCUCCAAGUAGCAGAGCUGGAACGAGCCCAGAUCUCUGACCCGGAGACGCCACCCUCCAGCUCCGUCUUCUGUGACUCGGGUUCAUGCAAACCGUAAACUCACAUGUGGCCCCGUCUCAUGUUCAGCCUUGAGGUCCUACCAUGCUGUGGUGGGAACUGCCCCCUCGGGGACGCCUAGGGCCAGCUCAGCAGUCACUGUGAGACUCUGGACACGUCUUGUCUCCUCUCUGGGCCUCAUUUCUGCACCUGAAAAUGACGCGGUUGAACCAGAGACUCUUGGGCUCCAGGUUUCUGGGACGUGGCGACUUGCCUGCACCCGCAUCCUCGGUGGCCCUAAGCCUGCAUUCUGAGAAAGCGCUGCAGAGCAGGAAGAUGGACAGCGAUCCUGUGCUUGAGGAUAUGUGGUGUAUCAAACCCUUGCUAACAUUAGAAACCAAAAAUAGUUGCUUUUUCUCUAUUUUUUCCUAAAGCCUGGGGGGGGAGUUGUAAUCCGCAGGGCUCUCUCUCCUCUGCUAUUUAUAACAAAUUCUGGUUUCCUCUAAGUCUGUCUCCUGCAGCAGAGGAAGUCAGGCUGAGCCCUCGCUGGGCUGAGGCCCCUGUGUCUGCACCCCGAUAGCCCCUGUCUGGGGUUCUGAGCCCAGGUGCCAGGCAGGGCUGGGGCUGGAAGCCAGGAACCCUGAACUCCCCAUCCCUAGAAGUUGAAGUCAGCGCUCAGAGUUCCCCCCAGUGCCAGUGCCUGGUGCUAAUUCUAAAGGGGAACCACAGGACGGAUUCAAGUUCAGAAACCACCUCUGCAUCAUUUCUAGGGCCUAAGGACAGCUCUUGGAUGUGCGGAUUUGUUACUGUAGGGUUGCUGUGAGAACGAGGGAUCCGGGCUCUUGGAUGGCUGCCCCCAGUUGCUGCUGGAGUAUUUUCAACACAGCAGCGUGGGAGCUUCCCAACUCAGAGAGGGCCCCCCAACUCCGCAGGCUCCCAUCUGCCCAGACGCCCACCGCUCCCUGCCAACAGCUCCUGUCAGCAGAGCAUGCAUGCAUCUGUGUGUAUGUGUGUGUGUGUGUGUGUGUGUUGGGGGUGGAGGGACACAUGCAUACGGGCAGCUGAUGUAGAGAAGCCUUAGGAUUUGGGAAGGAGGAAAAAGGAGAAGCAAACAGGAGGCAGAGGGGGUGGAGUGGGAAUGUACAGAGGAGGAAGCUGGGCGCUGCUGAGGCUGGACACAGGCUGACAGGGCAGGCACAUCCUAGUGCCAGCCCCCCCCCCCCCCCCCCCCCCCCCCCGCCACGCUGACUCUCUUAACUAAAUCUGCCCAGGCUGCAGUUUAAGCCUCUUCACUACCAACUCAGAUCCCUGUCUGAUUUCCUCGCCUCCAGCAGCAGCGCCCGAGAGGCAGCCGCCCAGAGGCCCUGACCUCUGGGAGGCUUGAGUUUCCAGCACACGUGCCUCCCAGCUCCUCCUGGUUCGACACCCCUGUGACCUGGAGGGAUGUGGAGGGGGUGGGGGCAGCGCUUCUGGCGCCAUUUCCCAGCAGUGAAUCUAUGAGUCAGAAGGGUCACCUACUCUCAGAAGUCAGAGGGGACUUCCUGGAGGCAGGAAACCAGAGUUGGGCCCUGGAGAAGCCCAGAGUCUUGUGGGCAGGAGGGCAGCUUUGCAAAAUACCGCACGAGCCUCCAAGAGGACUAAGCCUGGAGUCAAAGCCUGUGUCAGCCCAGCUCUGUCCACCAGCCCAGCUCCCGUCCCUGCACAGCUACUGGAAGGGAUCUGGAAAGCCUGGAACCGGAUGCAAAGUUCAAAUCCGGGAUCUGCCGCUUAUAUGCUGGGUGAGACUCAGUUUCCCCAUCAGCAAAAAUUAAAAAGAAUACAGCCUAGCUCACAAGGUCAUGAGCAUGAAAUGAGAACAUCCACGUCGGGCUCCUUGCUGGUUGGAGAAGCUCCUCUCAUAUUAGUCUCCGCCCAUCUCUCACUUUGGUUGGAUGGACUCAACACUCUGCUGGCCUCCUGCCCCGGGAGGGGCAACUGCUGGCCCCAGAGAGCCCGUCCUCCAGAUUCAAAUGCUAGUGAAAGGUGUGGGGUCCCCCCCAGGACCUUCCCUAUCCCCCUGCCCCUCCUCCAUCCUGGGAAACUGCUGGCAGCUGCCGCCUGUUUGCCAGAGGAUGGGGUGGAGGUGGGGAAUGGGUUUGCUCUUGAAAUUACUUUGGUUUGGGGGCUACGGAUGGAGCAGUCAUCUGUGGGGUGGGUGGGGGGAGGGAACGAGAGGAGAGUGGCACCCCAGACACUGCUCAUCCCCUAACCCACAGGCUUUUCAAAAUCUCCGAUGUGGUUUCAUCAGCUGAGGGUGAUGCAAGAGGCCUGGAGCCAGGCUCCCCUUCCUCCCUUCCCCUAGAGAGCUCCUUCCACAUCUGGAGCUGCAGCUGGGUCCUCCUCUUGGGCUCCUUCCAGGGAAGGGAGCUGGCUGAAGUGAGAAAAGGGAGGGCAGCUGGUGAGGGGCCCCGUGAAUGGCCCCAAUGUUGGAGGUGGGGGGCAGGGAGACGGGCGAGCUCAGAGGGAGGAGAGGGGGACUGGAAAGGCACCUCCGACUUUCCAGGGCAGUCUCCUCCAUCACCGGGCCCGGGGCUCCCUUAGUCUUUAAAACCCACUUGAAGGCAGAAGGCAGCAGCCCUCAGUACCCCCCUCCCACUGCCUCCCCCUCAGCCUCUACUCAGGUGCCUGGAGCUGAGUACUCCCUUUGUUUCUGUCCCCCAGGGGCAGCUCAGGCCUCCCACACUUACCCUCUGCCCCAAGGCCACUCAAGCAAAGGGGUAGGGGGAAGGGGGUCAUCUAUGGGUCAAAAAAGUCACUGGAGCCUCGUGGUCUCGCCGAAGGGAGGGAGGGGACAUCGGGGCUAGGAACUUGGCCCCAGAUCAACCUGAGAUGAACUUUAAAAAGCUGCAGGGUGUGGGUGGAGGGAAUUUCAGUGAGACAGUAGCAAGAAACCCCCUCCGUAAAAGUUGGCAAUUCACUGUAAUACAUGCAGAAGGGAGGCUUUCCUGGCGGGCGCCUUCAGAACACAAAACCGCCAGUCGCUGGGAGACGCUCAGCAGAGAAGCCCUAGGCCGGGAGACCGGGUUCUUACCCACGCUUAGCCACUAACUCCUGUGUGACCUUGGUAGUUCCCCUCUCUACGUCCGGGCUUCCGCAUUUAGGAGCGGGGGUCCCACAGAGGCUGCAGGUGUGCAUCCCUGGGGGCCUAGGCUCCAGCGUGGUCAAUUCUCGGCCGGCGUCCUUCCAAGCCCCAACCCUGGCCAUCCAACCAACCCCCCCAACAAGUGC